CAAAACAGUACAGAUCAGUGCUACAAAUUAGCACCAAGAUAAAAUUACAACUGUGCCAUUGUGACAAAGAACCACACAUUCUGAACACCUAUACACUCGCGUGGCGCAUAUAACACAGAGAUCACCACGUGGUUGACUGUUGGUCUUGGUUCCAUCGACCAGUUCAUUGGACCCCUCUCCCCACUGUACUCGUUGUAGAGAGAAAGCACGGCUCCAUCUUCGCGAUGGCUCACACUGCAGCUUGGCAGCGGAGCGUCUCUCGCUGCAGCUCGGAGGUGCUGCGGCUCCAUCUGCAUCUAGGUGGCUCGACAGCUUGGAAGCGCAGCGGCUUGCCGGCUCCAUCUGCAUCUCAGCGGACCAGCAGCUCCCGCUGCAGCUCGGAGUUGCGGAAGGGGGGAUGGCGCCGCCGUUGCUCGUAUCGGCGAGGAAAAUCCUCGCAGUUGCUGCUGUCGCUCCCCACUGAAGGUGUUGUCUGUUCUGGAUGCGCCGGCACUCCCUAAAGCUGGUGACUUGCCAAUACAAGCGAGGCUCCAGCAAGACCAUGACGUCCGCUGUUGCCGCUCAGAGCCGAAGAGGAAGAAGAGCGUACCCCGUCGUUUUUGUAUUUGAAGAAUACCCAUCUGAGGUGCUGCCGUGUGUUGGAUGUGAGCCGCAACACUGUUUCUAGGCAGUCGCCGCACUGUAUGAGCGGCAUCGGCAAGCCGGCGAGCCGUUGCAUGACCAUCGAGCCCGGACGACGGUCGAAAGAGUCCUUGCCGACAAACCAACAUCGACGACUAGAGGAUGAACCAGCACCUGCAUGCGGCGUUAGUGCUUUGUCGGGGCUGUGCGGGGUGCUCCCCGACCAAUCCAUGGCUUUGGCGCAGCUGCCAGUGGCCGGAAAAGUCAAAUUCGGUGGUCACGACAAAACAACCGCCGAUAUGUACCUUGUCGGUGAGCCGAGGCAUGAGGGCGUGGGGGAGAUCGAUCUAGGGCAGGCAGCGGCCCACCGGCGUGAUCCCGACGGCUGGUGUGGCCGAAAUCGAAGGCGGCAUCCGAUAACGGUGGGUGAGGGAAAAGCGCGGGUGAAAUAUCCCAUCAACCAACCGCUUCUAGAUAUAUACAGGACAUCGACGGGGCGGGGUGGAGAACCUGCGUUUACGUGGGUUAGGGUGUGCAUUUUGCCGUGCCCCGCAAAAAAAUUACUGGUCGGACGCGGUUGUGAGGUCUGGUCUGACAGCAUUUUUUGUCCCUACCUGUAUUUUGAUGAUUAUUUUGUGGGUUUGGCCCUUUUACGGAGUCCGCUAGGGAUGUUCUUGUAACUUCACUACAUAACUAUAGCAGGAGCAACAUUACUGAUUUCA